GAUGGCGGAAGCUCAGCCUGGUCGAGCGCCGGAAUGUGAAUCCGGAGGUCACGGGUUCGAAUCCCGUACGUCACCCCA
rnacentral:tRNA from 1 species